rnacentral:rRNA from 1 species
GACGAACGCUGGCGGCGUGCUUAACACAUGCAAGUCGAACGGAAAGGCCCUGCUUUUGUGGGGUGCUCGAGUGGCGAACGGGUGAGUAACACGUGAGUAACCUGCCCUUGACUUUGGGAUAACUUCAGGAAACUGGGGCUAAUACCGGAUAGGAGCUCCUGCUGCAUGGUGGGGGUUGGAAAGUUUCGGCGGUUGGGGAUGGACUCGCGGCUUAUCAGCUUGUUGGUGGGGUAGUGGCUUACCAAGGCUUUGACGGGUAGCCGGCCUGUGAGGGUGACCGGCCACAUUGGGACUGAGAUACGGCGCAGACUCCUACGGGAGGCAGCAGUGGGGAAUAUGGCACAAUGGGCGGAAGCCUGAGGCAGCAACGCCGCGUGCGGGAUGACGGCCUUCGGGUUGUAAACCGCUUUCGCCUGUGACGAAGCGUGAGUGACGGUAAUGGGUAAAGAAGCACCGGCUAACUACGUG